AAGUCUCUUCAAUGCCAUGUUCAUUUCUCUUUUUUGAUUACCAGGUAGUGCUGUCCUUGGUCUCUUGGGGCAUACUUCUUUCCCGAUCUGGCACAAACGACCCCUCAGGGCUUAAAGACUUGCGAAUGAUGAAUGAUCAAGAUUGCAUUCUUACCCAAAUACUCUUCGUGAUUGCCUGCUUUGCGGCUUUGGGGUCGAAUACAGCUUCUUAUUCACUGACGACUAACUCAAAAAUUUAA
rnacentral:lncRNA from 10 species